UAUCAACUGACCUAGCAGACAAGCCGAGAUGAUAAGACUUAUUUCCCAAGGAGGAAAUUAUG
rnacentral:ncRNA from 1 species